rnacentral:lncRNA from 1 species
UGAGUGUGAAGGCAGAGAUCAGGGUGAUAUCUACCAGCCAAGGCAUGCCAAAAGCUUCCCAGCAAACCAGCAGGAGCUGGGGCACAGGCAGGUACAGAUUCUCCCUCCCAGCCUCAGGAGGAACCAGCCCCCCCUACACCCUGAUCUCAGACUUCCAGCUUCUCCAACAGGGAGAUGAUGCAUUCCUGUUGUUGAAGCCUCCUAGCUUGCGUUUCUUCUUUCCAGCAGCCCUAGCUGAGGAGUGGAGACGAGAAAGGUAAGGGCAAAAGCUAUUAGCUCUUCUCGUCCCUUGCUCUGUGCACAUUGCUGCAGGCUGGCAUCAAAAACACGAGACAGCUCGUCAGGGCGGGCAAGGGCAAGGGGAGGUCUGUUGGGCUGAAAGCAGCAGUGUGACCUGUGGGAUGGCCACGUGUUCCUGCCUCUCCAUCUCCUGGCCACACAUUCAUCUCCGGGAGGCGUUCUUCAGACCUUCAAAAACCGGCCCAGAGGCAUUUACCAUAACUAGUGAGGUUUAGGUUUGGUAAGGGAGCAUCUGGGUUAAGGAAAUGGAGAGGCACCGAGGGAAGCCGCAGCCCCCCGGGGGAAGGGGGGUACGGGGGGUAGCACACCGUGGGAACCGCAGGUCAGUCCGAGGGCUUGGCCCUCCUGAUCGCCUCCACCUCCUGCCAUUCCCGGGUGCUCGUGAUCAAUGGCUUGCCUCUCAGCUCCAAAUUCACCCCUUUGGUGCCUACCCUGGAGCCCUGGGAAGAAUCCCAUUAAGCAUCUCUCCUUGUGGUAAGCAUGACAUCAGUUUUCUCCCUAUGGACUCUGGAGGGACAGCCCAGAGGAAGGGACUUCUCUUACUGGCCCCAGUGGCUGCGCUCAUGGUCAGGGACAAGCCUGCAGGAACAUCGGUGACACUGUGCCGGCCACACGCCCAGAAUGCGACCUUGCGGCCACACGCCCAGAAUGCGACCUUGCAGCCCCACCUGGCCUGCUGAUCCCUUCCUUGGAGCUCCUGCAACACGAUGCUGGGGGCUCUGACCCCCCACCCACAGCAGCACCUUCAUGCCUGCAAGCCUGUGACUCUGCCCACAGGCUGUGAUUCCCUGCUUGCCCAGGAACUGUGGACCAGCUCCUACCUGGGCAACCCAGUCAACUGCCCUGCCGUCCAUACCUUCCCCAUGGAGGUUCGUACCCCACCUGGGGUGGGGACCCCCAUUCCAAGUUCGUCCUUCCUUGGGCACUCUCCUACAGCCCUGGGGAACCAAUGAGAAAAUUUUCUACACCUUAUAUUUACUUUCCAAAAUCAUAGCUUAACAAUCCCUACAGGGGCGCCUGGGUGGCUUGGUCGGUUAAGCGUCCGACUUCGGCUCAGGUCAUGAUCUCAACAGUCCGUGAGUUCGAGCCCCGUGUUGGGCUCUGUGCUGACAGCUCAGAGCCUGGAGCCUGUUUCAGAUUCUGUCUCUCUCUCUCUCUCUGCUCCUCCCCUGUUCAUGCUCUGUCUCUCUCUGUCUCAAAAAUAAAUAAACGUUAAAAAAAAAAUUAAAAAAAAAAAAAACAAUCCCUACAGUUACACAUCCCCAGUUUUAAGUACCAUGUGGUCGGUCCUGUGUCCUGAGUGGCUCCAGGCUGAUACACCCUGGAAAGCAGGUUUGGCCAUAUGCAUAUCCUUGCAUGAAAGAACCAGCACUCCAAGAAAUCCACAGAUCCGAGAAAAGCCACUCAGCUCUGGUCACUCUGCACUCCGAGACUCCCCUCAACUGCAGGUCGACCCCGCAGAGGGCCCUGUGAGCCCUGUGGGGUUCAGAGCGCCUCACUGGGGUCCAAGUAUGUGUAUGUUACUCCCAGGGGGUGGCAUCCUUUUCUAUUGAUUUGCAUAAUUAAAUUGUAUAAUAGACGUGGGUUCCUCAAGAGCAUGACUGGGCCCUGGGACACUAACACUGGCCCUUCAGGCAGAGCCGGAAGGAGAAGUGAGCUGGGUAACCCCGCAACCGUUUGUGUAUUCAUUCAAACACAUUUAUUCAGUAAAAUUUCCUUGUUUCUCCCCCCGAGUCAGUCGCAGAAGAGAAGCUUCGGAGGAGAGAAUAAGGCACUUCUAACUCCUCACGGGAACACCAUGGCCACGCUCCUAGCUUCGCUCAGCCUGUUGGGUUUGGGGAUUAUCUGCUCGGCUGCUGCAAUAAGAACACCACAGUCUGAGGGCUUAACCCACGAGCACUGGUUCGUCGUGGGUCACAGUCCUGGAGGCUGCGUGGUCCGAGAUCCGGGAGCUGGUUGAUCCAGUGUCCGGGGAGACCCGCCGCCCGAUUGCUGACAGGUUCCCACAGCGGGGAGAGAAAUCAUUUCUCUUGAGUCUCUUCUUAGGAGAACACUAAUCCUAUUCGUGGGGGCUCCCCCCUCAUGACAUAAUCGCCUCUCAAAGUCCCCGCCUCCUAAUACUGUUACCUUUGGGGUUAGGUUUCAACACAUGAACUUGGGAGGUGGAUACAUUCAGUCCAAAACAGGAGCGAUGGCUAAUUUUAUGUGUAGCUUGCCGAGGCGGUGGGGUCCCGUUGUUUGGUCAAACACUGAUCUAGGUCUUGCUGUGGAGGUGUUUUACAGACGUGGUUAACAUCGACAAUCAGUUGACUUUGAGUAAAGCAGAUUACCCUCUAUAACAGGGGGGGCCUCAUGUAAUCAGGGGAAGGCCUCGAGGGCAAAAACUGAGGAGUGUUUUGGAGAAGGAAUUCUGCCCCCAGACUAUAACAGAAAUACUGAGUAGGUUUCUAGCCUGCUGGCUUGCUCUCCAGAUAUCAGGCUCGCCAGUCCCUGCAAUUGCAUGAGCCACUUUCCUUAAAAUGAAUCUCUUUUUCUAUGUUUCCUGUAGAUUCUGUUUCUUGGGAGACCCCUGACUAAUACAGUAGACAAGGAGCAUCUAGGAGAUGGUCAGCCAGCCUGGGGGAGGGACCGAGGACAUUUCUAGCAAUGGAAGUGGUUUCGUGAUUAAAACCAUGGGCCUGUCCAAAUCUGGAAGAAGCUUCCAGGUCAAUUCAUCUGGAAAGCUUCUGAAGGAUGAAGAGGAAACUGUGUCCGAUGACAGGAGACAGAGGGGGCUCUUGGCAGUUUUGUGCUUCCCUGUAGAGAAACUCAACAGGGCCACAGUAGCCCAUCUUGAGGGGGCUCUAGGCUGGAGAGACUCUAGGGCUUUGAGGGGACUGGGCGACGCUUGGUGAGCCCAGGGACUAUAGUGCCAUCUUGUCACUGGCCAGGGGGAGGCAGAGGGCUAGUGAAUAAAAAUGAAUCUCUGGGCGCCUCUGAGGUCUUGAACUCCAAAGGAAAAAAAAAAUGACUAAGCCCUUGCUUCUGGUCCAGGUUUAGAAGUGUUAUGUCACAGGACUUGAAAGCUAUAGAGAAAUUAUAUUUAACACCUUAUGCCAAAACUUUAAAGCUUGGGUCAGCAGACUGUGGCUCAUGGGCCAAAUCUGGCAAGCCUCUUGUUUAUGUAGGUAUGUCCUGCAAAGGGGGGGAGGGUUCCAUUUUUAAAGAUUUGGUGAAAGAAACAAAGGAAGAGGGCUUUUUAUAAAUAUUCUAGGAAGUUCAAUUAUCAGUGUUCGUGGUUUUACUGGAACACACUUUUUCUUUUAUAUAUUAUUGCCUUUGGCUGCUUUUGCGCUACAUGACAAAACCGAGUUAUAGGACAGAGACCGCAUGGCAUACAAAGCCGACGUAGUUAUUAUCUGGUCCCUUAUAGAGAGAAGCUUGCUGACUCCUGCUUUAAACCAUCGCAAAACAUUUAGUCUCUCUAGCAGGAUUGUAAUCAGUGUGCUAUGUCAUAGCUUCAUAGUGUGAUGAAGUACCUACAUGCACAAACAUAUAAAUAAGUAAAUGGGUAAACAUACACACACACACACACACACACACAGAUAUGUAAAAUCUUAGAUGUUUUCAUUUCCAUUCAGGAAAAUUCCAAGAAAAACUUUAAAGAAACAAUAGAGACAUAUUUUCAUUUAAAAAAAAGUCUUCCUGGGGCGCCUGGGUGGCGCAGUCGGUUAAGCGUCCGACUUCAGCCAGGUCACGAUCUCGCGGUCCGUGAGUUCGAGCCCCGCGUCAGGCUCUGGGCUGACGGCUCAGAGCCUGGAGCCUGCUUCCGAUUCUGUGUCUCCCUCUCUCUCUGCCCCUCGCCCGUUCAUGCUCUGUCUCUCUCUGUCCCAAAAAUAAAUAAACGCUGAAAAAAAAAUUAAAAAAAAAAAAUUAAAAAAAAAAAAAAGUCUUCCUGACUCAAAGUGGAACAUGCCAGAAAACGGGGGCACCUCCAUAUUGAAGGGUCGCCAGGUACUUUGAGCUCAUCACCACGUGGCAACUCAAUGAUGUUGCAGAGGGGCAGACGGCACCUGAGGACUGGUUUUACAGGUAGCAAAACCAAGGUCAAAAUCAAGGCACAUCCUCGCCUGUCAGGGGCACAGAACGUGGGACUGACAGAGUCUCCCUUUCCUGAGAGGUCACCUUGCACUCUCCAAUGACUUCACAAGUGCAGGUUUAUCUAAAAUCAUUCCACCAUGGGGAGAUCAAACGCGACAUCGUCAUGUUCUUGGCACUUUCAAAUGCAACAUUCUCCUUAGUAGUUGCAAAUUUCAGGGGUCUGCCCAAGUGGAAUUCAUAAGGGAAAGGGAGCAGUGAGCAUAAUUGGUCUUCUUUUUCGGGUUCUGGCCUUGUUUCUCUUGUCUUUGGGCUGGGAGUCUAGAGCCAUAAUUUUGUAAUGAAUCUCCAGCUGGCCGAGUAGAUUCAUCCCAUGCAGUUGGAAGACGACAUUCAGUGUAGGUGGGGUAAAUCCAGGGUAUGGAGGAGCUUUAGAAAUCCUUAGUAUCACGUAGGAAAAGACUUCAGUUGGACAGAACAAGACCAUAGUGUACGUAAUGAUGCCUAUUGAAGCCCCAACAUUUCAGUACUUGGCUUCUCAGGGUCUCUCUGUAUCUUGGUCUCUGAGGUCUGAGGGCACUUCUUUACGCCCAGUACAGAUUCUGUGCACAGAAUCCAAGCACAAUAUGCAACAAGGGAAAGAAUUGGAUUGAUUUUCCAAUGCUGGAUCAGUUUUAAAAAGUGGAUCUUUUUCAUAAAAUGGAAGUAAUUAAGAGAAAAUAUUAGCUUAUUCAAUUUAUCUUGGUCAUAUACUUUUAAUUUUCUUUGUAUAUAUAUUCUGAUUUACUAUUAUUUUUUUAAUGUUUUUUUUUAAUGUUUAUUCUUGAGAGAGAGAGAGAGAGAGAGACAGUGUGAACAAGGGACAGGCAGAGAGAGAGAGGGAGACACAGAAUCUGAAGCAGGCUUCAGGCUCUGAGCUGUCAGCACAGAGCCUGACGCGGGGCUCAAACUCACAGACUGCCAGUUCCUGACCUGAGCUGACGUCGGGGGCCUUAACCAUCCGAGCCACCCAGCCGCCCCUAUGUAUUCUGAUUUAAAACAACAUUAACGAUAAUGUCAUCCUAGGAAAUAAGCUUAACAGAAAAUGAGCCAAUGCAGAGGUUUGCCUAUUGAUCUAAUGAGCUGGUAAUGACCCUCAACAAUGACCCCUAGGAUAUGCUGUGCUUUCCAGUAUAAUAACGCUUAAUUAUGUAGACUGAAUGAGUGGAACGAUUCUCAAGCUCUUCCUGUUUUCAUGCUAGUCAAUGUCACUUUCAUGCAAUGAUCAAGUCUAGUUCUGAUGACAUUCUCCCUUCUCCUUGAGUAGCAGUUAAUGCAGGGUCUACUGCACCUUGGCCCUGAUGGCCUCAGUUAAUAUUUGAUUACUGAAUAAAUGGAUAAGUUGAUCAAUAAACUAAUCCAGAUGCCAGGGCUCUGGCUUCAGCUGGAAGAGAGCAGAAGGGGCAGUCUUUGAAAUUGGCCACGUGUCUGCAGGCUGGCAGGGGUCCAGGUAAUUGUCCUGGCUUGGCCCCGUGGAGAUUGUUCCAAUGACACGCUUCCACAGCGUGAUGAGAACUGAGGUGGAGGAGAAGUCAUGUCUUAAUGCACACCUGGAAACCCCGGGUUGGGAGUAGGAACAGCCAGCAGAGCAAGUAGCGUGUGCCUUCACUUCUGGAGCUCUGCUGUGUCACUGUUGCUUUUGGUUUGUUUGCUUUGAUUCUCUUGCAACUGCAUCCCUGCCUCGGGACCAGGGAAGACAUUUGUCAGAGCGGGCUGGGUGUCGCUAAAUGUCCUCCCCAGCAUAUGCGGCCGCCGAGCCUCGGAAGGGUUUCUGUCAAGAAACUUCUCAGCCUCCAUGGCAGAAAGUAAGUAAAAAGAGUCCUUUCCAGGCACCUGAGUGUCUCUGUCGGUUAAGCAUCUGACUCUUGAUUUUGGCUCAGGUCAUAAUCUCGUGGUUCACGGGUUCGAGCCCCACAUCGGGCUCCGCACUGAUGGUGUGGAGCCUGCUUGGGAUUCUCUCUCUCUCCCUCUCUCUCUGCCUCUCCCCCGGUCACUCUCUUUCUCUCAAAACAAAUAAGCUUAAAAAACGUUCUCAAUAAUAAUAAAAAAGAGUCCUUGGGAUGUAGAAAUCACCUAAAACAAAAUUUAUGAGAGCCAGAGGACAUUGUUAGAAUUUCCUCUGUGGCUGAAUACUUAGGGAAGAAGAGCCAUCUAGUCACAUGCCAUUCUUGGUGGUGGGAUGUGCCUCAGGCUGCAUCGUUGAUUUCCCACCUCACCAUCCACACGGGUGUGCAGGCUGGAAACCUCCCCUCAUCAUCACAUCCCACCCAACACCAGUUCCUUUCUAACUCCGAAGUAUCCGUUGGUCCACGUUCUCCUCUCCAUCCAUCUGAAGAGUUUGGAGCUUAGCCAUUCAGUGGCCAAGCACUAGCCCUGUGACUCAAGUUUCGUGACUUUGAAACAGGGCUGAAAUCGUUUCUGCCCUUCCUACUUCACUGAUACAUGAUGAGGCCCUACCAAGACACUUUGAAAAGCAUGAUGGAAAACAGGGACAGAAUUACAUACUAUAAAUGCACCAUCAGGUAAGAAAUUUUCCUUUACCGUGACAUGACUUGCUUCCAGGUUAUUCUAUGUCACUUAAAGUUGUUGGAAGCACAGACCUGUAAACUCUGCCCUUGAAAUCUUAGCUCAUUCAGUCAUCACGCCCACAAAUGAGCCAGAUGCAAUCACAGUUGACACAUGAGAAGGUGUGUCCCCUGGAGGUCGGGUAACCCAGCACCCAGCUGGGAAGCGUGGCUUCAGGGAUCCAAGAUGGCGUGACCCAGAAGUCUUCUGUUCCUGUGUGGUCAGCAUGGGAAGGGGGUCCUGAGGAAGUGCCUUGAGCAGAGCUGGGCAGGGAGUAGACACUUGAUACCUAUUGUUUGUUAUAACUUCUAAGCAAUAUGGAUACAUAUGGGUGUAAUUGACCAGUAGAGAAAUACACCUCAUCUCAGAUGCGUUCAGAAGCCUCUGGCGAUUCAAGACAUCCAACUAAAUGGAGCCCCCUUGAGAGCAAUGGGAGGGCUACAGCUGGGACCACAGAGCCCCCCCCUUGCAUUUUAUAAGGUGGCAGUCUUUUCUCCUCCUCAGCUGCUAAGAAAGUCACUGAAGCUAGUGCUUGAUCAGCAAGACACUGCUUGCUGGAGACAUGGAAGAUUCUCACUUCGCUUAGCGUCUCAGUUGUGCUCUUUUAGCCACAAAUAUUACACUUCCUCUUCUAUGUAAGUUUUCACUGCUAAAUGAGACAGUAAGUCCUCAUGAGUUGGGACAUUUUAUUUUUAGUAUGUCUGAGGUGAGACACUACUUAUAAUGUCAGACUAAUUUUUUAGUCUGAUUAUACUAAUUAUAUUAUUUAAUUAUAUUAUACUAUAUUAUAAUAUACUAUAUAUUAUAUACUAUGUAUAUAUUAUAUACUAUAUACUAUGUAUAUAUUAUAUACUAUAUAUAUUAUAUACUAUAUAUUAUAUAGUAUAAUAUACUAUUAUAUAGCAUAGUAAUAUAUAGUAAUAAUAUAUAUUAUAAUAUACUAUUAUAUAGUAUAUAUAUAGUAUAUAGUAUAGUAUAUAUAUAUAGUAUAUAUAGUAUAUAUAUAGUAUAUAUAGUAUUAUAAUAUAUAUUAUAUUAUACUAUACUUUAUAUAAUAUUAUAUUAUAUUAAUUAUACUAAUUUUUUUAUUAUCUCUUUUAAAGCUUCUUUUAUUGAGCACCUGAGAACAUUCUCGAUAGGCCCCUCUCCACCUUCAUCCUGGAAGAAACACGCAUGUCUUUCAGCGAAUGGACGGUGGCACCAGACAGAACAGAGUCGGAAUCCUGCCGUGGUGACUGCUUCUGCGCGAUGAGCAUUUGAGCCGCCCAGGUGACCUCACGGAGCUCUGUCUUGGGACGCCCAGUGUCUGCUUCAUAGCCUGACCGGGAGGGUGAGGAUCGUCUAUGUGAAUCACCGGAUAGCACUACCCCUCCCUGCAUCAGAAUGCACUUGACAUGAUACCACCAUUCCCUUUCCUUAGCUCUCUGCCUCUUCCUAUUUUGCGUUUCUUGUUAUUCCUGCGGUCUCCCCAGGUAGGAACUAAUCACAUGUUGAGGGCAUCCUGAGACUGUUGUCCUGAACUCCCCCAUCUCAUGAAACACUCGGGGUAUGUUUCUUCCUCCUUUUUUUUCAUGCUUCAGUUGGGUUUCUGGCAGACUCACAGCAGCCUUCAGCCAGGAGGCCGAUUCCCCGCGUCGACGUGGGCGCCAUCUCCUGGUCAUCUAA